rnacentral:rRNA from 1 species
GAUGAACGCUAGCUACAGGCUUAACACAUGCAAGUCGAGGGGCAGCAUGGUCUUAGCUUGCUAAGGCCGAUGGCGACCGGCGCACGGGUGAGUAACACGUAUCCAACCUGCCGUCUACUCUUGGACAGCCUUCUGAAAGGAAGAUUAAUACAAGAUGGCAUCAUGAGUCCGCAUGUUCACAUGAUUAAAGGUAUUCCGGUAGACGAUGGGGAUGCGUUCCAUUAGAUAGUAGGCGGGGUAACGGCCCACCUAGUCUUCGAUGGAUAGGGGUUCUGAGAGGAAGGCCCCCCCANAUUGGAACUGAGACACGGUCCAAACUCCUACGGGAGGCAGCAGUGAGGAAUAUUGGUCAAUGGACGAGAGUCUAGAACCAGCCAAGUAGCGUGCAGGAUGACGGCCCUAUGGGUUGUAAACUGCUUUUAUAAGGGAAUAAAGUGAGUACUCGUGAG